rnacentral:rRNA from 1 species
GACGAACGCUGGCGGCGUGCUUAACACAUGCAAGUCGAACGGAAAGGCCCUGCUCUUGUUGCGUGCUCGAGUGGCGAACGGGUGAGUAUAACGUGAGUAACCUGUCCUUGACAUACGGAUAACUUCAGGAAACUGGGGCUAAUACCGGAUAGGAUCUCCUGCAGCAUGGGGGGGGUUGGAAAGUUUCGGCGGUUGAGGAUGGUGUCGCGGCUUAUCAGCUUGUUGGUGGGGUAGUGGCUUACCAAGGCUUCGACGGGUAGCCGGCCUGAGAGGGUGACCGGCCACAGUGGGACAGGGGUACGACCAAGACGCAUACGUGCGGCAGCAGUGGGGACUUGUGCACAAUGGGCGGAGGCCUGAAGCAGGAACGCCGGGUGCGGGAUGACGGCUUUCGGGUUGUAAACCGCGUUCGCCUGUGACGACGCGUGAGUGACGGUAAUGGUCAGAGAAGCACCGCCAACCUACUU